rnacentral:lncRNA from 1 species
GAUGAUUGGGUAAUAUACCCAUGAAUCGGAUAUACUUAAGCUUGAAUCUGUGUAUUCUAUAGUAUUUUAUUGGCAUUUUUACUGUGUUUAUGUUUUGUUUUGCAGGUUUGGGAGCUAUAGGAGUGAUUGGGAACUUUAAGCUACAAAAUGGCAUAAUUGUAAUUUUCAGAAGCCCAGCGCCGGGGCGCUGGAAAAUGAACUGCAGAGAGCGCCG